UACGGAGGGGGCUAGCGUUGUUCGGAAUUACUGGGCGUAAAGCGCACGUAGGCGGCUUUGUAAGUUAGAGGUGAAAGCCCAGGGCUCAACCCUGGAAUUGCCUUUAAGACUGCAUCGCUUGAACAUCGGAGAGGUAAGUGGAAUUCCGAGUGUAGAGGUGAAAUUCGUAGAUAUUCGGAAGAACACCAGUGGCGAAGGCGACUUACUGGACGAUUGUUGACGCUGAGGCGACGAAAGCGUGGG
rnacentral:rRNA from 1 species